AUUAUAAUCUCCAACACCUGAAUAGUGGCCCUGAAUCUAAUAUCAUUUCCAACUAAGUUACAUUUAUAUUUACUCGCUUGUUACUAUUGCUAUUCCAUUUAAAAACAUUUACAACCUUUAUAAUUAAUAAACACUAGAUUUAAUUGUUCCUUAGCUCCUUGUGGAUUCGAUUCCUAAAUACUACAUCUAAAUCUCUUUUGAUGAGAGUAACAUUUUUUAGGAUAAUUUGAGUGGUAUCAGAGCUCCUCGCCUCCCCCCCCCCCCCCCUCUCUCUCUUUUUUAAAUCGAUCGAUUUCAGUAGGAUAGCAAGGGCAGAACAUUUAAUGGACGACUAAAAAAUAUAAUAUAUAGAACAUUAUUUCAAUAUGUAAAUGCUAACCGUAUAAAUCUUUCCUUACAUGUUUUACGAUUUUUAAUGUAAUAAAAAUCUUUGCUGGUCGAAAGAGAUUGCAUAAAUUUGAAUUUAUUACAUUUUAUUUAUGACUUAUAAUAACUGCGUAAAUCUUUAUUAAUUAGCAUAUAUUACUUGGUCGAGAAGUUGGUUGAGCUAGUCACAUUAGAUCUUAUAAAUUCAUUAUUCUUUGCAAUUACGUUCCUUUAAACCAAACCCCUUACGUUUUCUAAGGAUUUUAUGGUUACUAGAUUUUGAUCUGCGCUUUCAAAGCGCAUGUUUAUUUUUUUUUUCCAAUUGACAAAUAUUUAGUAAAUAUCAUAUUUUCAUAUAUUUGUGUUUUAUUUUAUAAAAGACUUAAACUUUUUAUCUUUAUUUAUCAUAUUUUAUUUUAAUUGACUAUUUAUGUUUAAAAAAUUAAACUUUAUUUUUUUUAAUGAAUUAAGUUGGUAUAACUCUGAUAAAUUAAUUUUAUUAUGUGGUUAAUAUUUUAAUAAAACAAUUAUAUACUUUUAAUAAAGAUGUAUACUUUUCAAUUAAAAAAUUCAUUUUUUUAUGAAUGCUUAAAUUAUAUUAAGAAAAUAAAAAAAAAAUAAUUAAGAAUAGUUGAAAAAAAAAUUAUUUGAACUUGGACUCAAUAGCCCAAAGAAAAAAAAAUGUGAGAAUUAGAUAUGAUUUCUUAAUCGGCCCAAAUGACCCAAGAGAGAUCUGAUGUGGGCUGAAUCCAAAAAAAUGACCCAAUAUAUAUGUGUUAUUAAUAUUAUUUGAUUGCCCUUAAUGAAACAUGCAAUGUUAGUAAAGAAAAAGGCAGGUUAAGGUAAAAGGACAAUAGGAUCCUGCUUUAAUAGUAUAGAUUUUGUAAGUUGGUCAAUCUAACAAUUUUUAAAAACCAUCUCUUUUGUGGGUUGGUUCUUUCAUACCAUUAUUUUUCUUAAAUAGACCUAGAACAAUUUUUAAUGAUUAACUAAAUGAGUCACGUAUAUAGUAGAAUGUGUUUUAGUUUUAAAAUUGUUACAUACCCAUAAUCAAUAUGAACCACCAUCACUUUCGUUAAAACUUUGUUAAAUUUCGAAUCCAAAAAACUAAAUAAAAUCUGAUCCAAAAAAGUAUUACUGAACCUGAACCAAAAUUGGUUAGAUAUUCAAACAGGUUCAUUUUGGUAUCUAGAGAACCGAAACCAAAAUUUUCAGGUAUUUGAAUACAUGAAUUAUAUUUAUAUAUUUAAAUAUAUUAAUUAUUUUUAUAUUUAAUUUUAAAAAUAUCCAAAAUAUUUUAGAUGUUUUUAGUUCAAAAUACUUGGAAAUAUAUACAAAUACUUAAAAAUACAUGUGUAAAAUAGCUAAACGAUAUUAAAAACACCAAAAACACUUAAAAUAUCUAUUGAUUUUCUAUCCAAAUAUUUAAGCUAAACAAAUUUUUAUGUUAAGUUUAAGUAUUUUUUCAUACAUUAUUAAAAUUUGUAUGUUAUAUAUUAUUUUAUAUUUAGACUUUGAGAAAUUUAAAGUUUAUAUAAAUAUUAAUUUUAAACGGAUUAUCCGAAUCUGAACCGAAUUCGCAAGAAUCUGAAUCGAACCAAAACGAAAUUUAUAAAUACAAGAAUAGGGCUAAAAUAUGUAACCUCAAAAACAUGAAACCCGAAUAAACUCAAACCAAUGGUACCCAAAUGCUUAUCUCUAAUCAAAUGUCAAAGGGUUGUCGAUAAAAAAAAGUAUAUUAUUUAUAAUAAUAAAUUACAAUACAUUUUAAAAAAAAAACUCAUCCCGCGCAGGGCGUGGAUUAUCAUCUAAUACCAUUUAAUAUGCGAACAAACAAUCACCGAGACAUAAAAUGUCACAGCCCAAACCCAGCAAAUCUUAAAAUAAAACCCACGUUUUAAGGCAAAACCUUAAAGAAAGGGAUUUUAGUAAUUUUAGAUGAUCUGAACCCUAAACUCCACCUAUAUAAGGUAGACAUGACCUAGAGGAGAUGGAGAUACGAAUUUAUCGGUGAAGCUUUGCCAAAAUCAAUGAAAACGCAGCGGUCAACCAUCUUGUGUUCCCAAGAAAAAUCAGUGCCAAGUUAGUGUUUUUGAGAGAUGAUUCCGACCAAAUAUAAAGGAUAUAGUCAAAGAAUUUAAGUUGGAUUGAUAGAUCUCGUUGCAAGGAAGACACAAUCUUCAAGUUGAGAGAAAACAUUAAUUAUAUUUAUGAAUUCUGUUCAGACCUGGUUUUUCUGUUUUGCAGAGCCAUAUGGUGAAGCGAUUUCCGGUUGAUGCAUUUAGGUGACGUCCUUGAUGAUCUGCUGGCGUUCCUAGAUUUCUAUAGCCACUAAGACCGCUCCAUUACAAGUUCAGAGAGCCAUAUUGAGAGGAGAUUUCCCGUCGAUAAAGAAGGAUUUAGGUGAUGAGAUUGUUAGUGCUAGAAACCUUACGUUCCCAGAUUUCUAUAGCCAUCAAGAACACUCAGUUACGGAAUAAACUCCAGAAAUUAUUCUAUGUUCAUGUUGAGGGAAAAUCACUGUUUUCUGGAUUCAGGAAUCGCAAGUCUGAAACCUGUUCUUCCAGAUUCACAUAGGGGUUUUUUGAGACGGUUUCCUGGUGAUACAGAGAGAGUUAGAACGCAAGUAAGGUGUCUCUGGAAAGAUCGUGUUGCACGGAAUCCAUAUCAAUUGGCGGUUUCCAGUUUAGUGGCAAGAUCAAAUAAUUAUUCGUGUUUCUUCCUGGACAAGAAUCAUAAUGUUCUGUCAAAACCAGAAACCCCAAUUUUUUUUUUGAAUGCAAUCGCAGUUCAGAUCCACAGAAUAGUAUUUCAACUGCUUUGACCAUUAUUUUCAGAAUCUACUUUCAACCUUAAGGCAAAGUGUAUGCAGGUGUUUCUUGUUGUUCAAGUUAGGGCACAAAAGUAGGAUUUGGGGGACGGACAUUACAUAAAACAUGUGAAAAUAUGA